UCGUAGGCGGUUUGUCGCGUCGUCUGUGAAAACCCGCAGCUCAACUGCGGGCUUGCAGGCGAUACGGGCAGACUUGAGUACUGCAGGGGAGACUGGAAUUCCUGGUGUAGCGGUGAAAUGCGCAGAUAUCAGGAGGAACACCGGUGGCGAAGGCGGGUCUCUGGGCAGUAACUGACGCUGAGGAGCGAAAGCGUGGGUAGCGAACAGGAUUAGAUACCCUGGUAGUCCACGCCGUAAACGGUGGGCGCUAGGUGUGGGUUUCCUUCCACGGGAUCCGUGCCGUAGCUAACGCAUUAAGCGCCCCGCCUGGGGAGUACGGCCGCAAGGCUAAAACUCAAAGGAAUUGACGGGGGCCCGCACAAGCGGCGGAGCAUGUGGAUUAAUUCGAUGCAACGCGAAGAACCUUACCUGGGUUUGACAUACACCGGACCGCCCCAGAGAUGGGGUUUCCCUUUGUGGUCGGUGUACAGGUGGUGCAUGGCUGUCGUCAAACUCGUGUCGAGAGAUGUUGGUUUAAGUCCCGCAACGAGCGGCACCCUUUGUCCUGUGUUGCACCAAGUAAGUUGGG
rnacentral:rRNA from 1 species